UACGGAGGGUGCAAGCGUUAUCCGGAUUCACUGGGUUUAAAGGGCUCGUAGGCGGCCAACUAAGUCCGACGUGAAAUCCCAAGGCUUAACCUUGGAACUGCGUCGGAUACUGGAUGGCUUGAAUUCGGGAGAGGGAUGCGGAAUUCCAGGUGUAGCGGUGAAAUGCGUAGAUAUCUGGAGGAACACCGGUGGCGAAGGCGGCAUCCUGGACCAACACUGACACUGAUGAGCGAAAGCCAGGGGAGCAAACGGG
rnacentral:rRNA from 1 species